UCGGUCUUGUAGGCACGGACACAGUUGCUGGUUUGCUCGGAAAGGAAAGCGGGUGCAUGCGGGAGCUCAAAGCAGACUGGGUGAUGGGGUUGCAGGUCCUCACAGAGCCCAGACUUGUCUUCAGAACGUCACGCGGGACACGCGGCCGGCUCACGGGUCGUAAUGCCCUGGAGUUUCUCAGAUGACACCCAAGGCCACAACCCCUGAUUAUUCAUAAAAUAAUUAUUCCGCGCAAGUCUGGGGCCGCAUUCAUAUUUGAAAUAUAAUUUUGAUGCGACGUGUGGAGUGUAUGGUAAUGACUUGCUGUUGCGAGAAUGUAAAGAGGGGAAAAUAAGGACGGGAAGGCUUUAAUUCUCCUGCACGACCCCGGGAAGCUGCCAGCCACCUGUUAAGACAUGGACGGGGGUGAUGCUUUUCACUGCUGUGAGUUUUGGGGCCGGCGGCACCGUUUGGGGAGCCUGGGGGGCCCAGCCUUCUGGAUGGCGAUGAUCUCCACGAUUUCCUAUUCCCCGGACGUGGGCACAACACGGAGAGAGCCCAGCUUACUGUGGCCCCGAUUAGACAAACGUCCUGAAGUCCCUGCGUCUCUCAUGGUUUGCCUGAAAUCCUAUAAGUGAUGUCCAACACGGGACCCCGGCAAGAGCCCCACCCAUUCUCACUCUGCUCGGCUGUUUAAUGUCUGGCGGAAAGCCCUGAGUUUCAGCUCUUGGGGUAUCUGAAAUGUCCCAUACGCACUAUGUUCUCUGCACAAUUAAAAAAAAUAAUAAUAAUGCAUUUUGCUUUGAUUAAAAAAAAACUGAAAAGGAAGUGAAUGAAAUCAUAUCUUCCUUCCUCUAAAAUAUAGAAAAGCAUCUGUAUUUCUGUCUCUGUUUCCCCUAUGCAUAAAAGUGGAGGAAAGUGAUUCAUUGCAUUCCCCAGCAUCCCGCUCUGUCCUUAAUGUGAAAUGCAUGGGGGCCUAUACAGGAUCGAGGAUCGGGGCGUCUUACUGGGAUGUCAGACACUAAAUGGCCGUGUCCUCCUCCAUUGUCCCCAUGGUUGCCGGUGACAGAGAGGGAGCCAACUUCCUCCGUCCUCUCCAGCAUGGCUCAAGGAGCAGCCUGUCCACCGACAUGGAGAGCGUCUGCUCACAUACGCACCUUUGAAAAAUGCAAACCCACGACCCAUGUGGACCCUUCCUCCCCGAGGCCCCCUGAGCACCUCCGCGGUCUCCAGAUCAAAGAGAAGAGGCCAGGGAGGUCUGCAAGUCAGAGAAACAGGGAGACCCUUUAGGAAAUUAUGUCCCCACGAUGCCCAGUUACAUCCCAAUGUAAUAAGAAAAAUAAAAUUUUUUUAAAGUAUAAGUGCAUUCCUAGCGUGGCCUGGAAUAGACUUCUAAUCAGAAAAUUAUUGGUUU